AACGCUAGCUACAGGCUUAACACAUGCAAGUCGAGGGGCAGCAUGAACUUAGCUUGCUAAGUUCGAUGGCGACCGGCGCACGGGUGAGUAACGCGUAUCCAACCUUCCGUACACUCAGGAAUAGCCUUUCGAAAGAAAGAUUAAUACCUGAUGGUAUGAUGAGAUUGCAUGAAAUCAUCAUUAAAGAUUCAUCGGUGUACGAUGGGGAUGCGUUCCAUUAGAUAGUAGGCGGGGUAACGGCCCACCUAGUCGACGAUGGAUAGGGGUUCUGAGAGGAAGGUCCCCCACAUUGGAACUGAGACACGGUCCAAACUCCUACGGGAGGCAGCAGUGAGGAAUAUUGGUCAAUGGGCGCGAGCCUGAACCAGCCAAGUAGCGUGAAGGAUGAAGGUCCUACGGAUUGUAAACUUCUUUUAUAAGGGAAUAAAGUCACCUACGUGUAGGUGUUUGUAUGUACCUUAUGAAUAAGCAUCGGCUAACUCCGUGCCAGCAGCCGCGGUAAUACGGAGGAUGCGAGCGUUAUCCGGAUUUAUUGGGUUUAAAGGGAGCGCAGACGGGAUGUUAAGUCAGCUGUGAAAGUUUGCGGCUCAACCGUAAAAUUGCAGUUGAUACUGGCGUUCUUGAGUGCAGUUGAGGUGUGCGGAAUUCGUGGUGUAGCGGUGAAAUGCUUAGAUAUCACGAAGAACUCCGAUUG
rnacentral:rRNA from 1 species